CUCCUACGGGAGGCAGCAGUAGGAAUAUUGGUCAAUGGGCGGAAGCCUGAACCAGCCAUGCCGCGUGCAGGAAGACGGCCCUACGGGUUGUAAACUGCUUUUGUACGGGAAUAAACCUCGGUAUGUAUACCGAGUUGAAUGUACUGUAAGAAUAAGGAUCGGCUAACUCCGUGCCAGCAGCCGCGGUAAUUC
rnacentral:rRNA from 1 species